CGAGAAAGCCCGCAAGGGUGAGUAAAGCGGCGCACGGGUGCGUAACACGUGGGUAAUCUGCCCUGAAGUCCGGAAUAACUCGCCGAAAGGCGCGCUAAUGCCGGAUGAGACCACGGGAGCCUCGGCUCCUGCGGGAAAAGGUGGCCUCUGUAUACAAGCUAUCGCUUCAGGAUGAGCCCGCGGCCCAUCAGCUCGUUGGCGGGGUAAUGGCCCACCAAGGCUACGACGGGUAGCUGGUCUGAGAGGACGAUCAGCCACACUGGAACUGAGACACGGUCCAGACUCCUACGGGAGGCAGCAGUGGGGAAUCUUGCGCAAUGGGCGAAAGCCUGACGCAGCAACGCCGCGUGUGUGAUGAAGGUCUUCGGAUCGUAAAGCACUGUCGCGAGGGACG
rnacentral:rRNA from 1 species